rnacentral:rRNA from 1 species
GACGAACGCUGGCGGUGUGCUUAACACAUGCAAGUCGAACGGUAAGGCCCUUUCGGGGGUACACGAGUGGCGAACGGGUGAGUAACACGUGAGUAACCUGCCCUCAUCUCUGGGAUAACAGUCGGAAACGGUUGCUAAUACUGGAUAUGAGCUUGCAAGGCAUCUUGUGGGUUGGAAAGAUUUUUUUUGGUUGGGGAUGGACUCGCGGCCUAUCAGCUUGUUGGUGAGGUAGUGGCUCACCAAGGCUUCGACGGGUAGCCGGCCUGAGAGGGCGACCGGCCACAUUGGGACUGAGAUACGGCCCAAACUCCUACGGGAGGCAGCAGUGGGGAAUAUUGCACAAUGGACGGAAGUCUGAUGCAGCAACGCCGCGUGCGGGAUGACGGCCUUCGGGUUGUAAACCGCUUUCAAUUGCGACGAAGCUUUUUUGUGACGGUAGCAGUAGAAGAAGCACCGGCUAACUACGUG